rnacentral:rasiRNA from 1 species
GAGGAUACUAAUCUCGACCGAGAUAA